rnacentral:rRNA from 1 species
UACGUAGGGAGCAAGCGUUGUCCGGAAUCAUUGGGCGUAAAGCGCGCGUAGGUGGCCUCAUAAGUCCGCUGUGAAAGUCAAAGGCUCAACCUUUGAAAGCCGGUGGAUACUGUGAGGCUAGAGUACGGAAGAGGCGAGUGGAAUUCCUGGUGUAGCGGUGGAAUGCGCAGAUAUCAGGAGGAACACCAAUAGCGAAGGCAGCUCGCUGGGACGUUACUGACGCUGAGGAGCGAAAGCGUGGGGAGCAAACAGG